GAUGGGUUCAAAUUAACUAGUCAAGAGAUCACACUGACUGUAGGUCUGGCUCAGUGAAUUUUACCAAGUUCUCAGCAAAGUUGAUGAGCAGAGCAAAGCACUACAGAAUGUAAUUCACAAACUUAAUCAGGUCACCCUGCUUCUUCAAAAUAUGGGGAAAGAGGAGCUGAUGAAGAAAGGAAUUAGAACAAAAGUGGUUCAGCACCUCUCGUGCACGGAGAAUUUUAAAACGGCUGCUUUCUUCAGAUUUGGCUCA